UAUCAUUAGAGUACUUUUAUUAUUUCUUUUCCAAGUCAAGCACAGAAGACACUUACAUGAUAAUUUUACAAAAAACAGGUGUGAAAUGCUUGAAUAUUGUAACCCAAAAAUUUAGAUUACAUAAAAAGUCCUUAAUAAUUUUGUCUAAGUUUUAAAAACCCUGUAUUUAUUUUUAUACUAACCAAAUCGGUCGGCCUAAAUGCAGUUUAUCUCCCGAGUGAUAUUUUGGAAUUUUUUUCCAAAAUGUGUGUUUUUACAUGGGUAAUUUGAUGGUACUUUCAAACAAAAUCGUACAAACUUCAUUUGGAAGUUAUGGUCAAAAUGAUUGACUUUUUUAAAAAUCAUGUUUUUGAGUUUAAAAUACUAAAAAUUUAUAAUUUUAGAUUUUUU